rnacentral:lncRNA from 1 species
CUAUACUAGCAGUGCUAAUUACUGUUUCUCUAACACACACAAGAGAUUGAAGACUCGCUGAAUGCGAUUCUACAAUCGAAUGAGAGCCAGGGAGAUUGGAUGGACCACCACAUGUCCACACUCCACGAGUACACGAGACCACAACAACCUUCGGCCACAUCCCCAACCUCUGGAUUACGCGGAGUAGAUAACACCUCAGUUCCCCCACAGAAACCACGAGUACUGUUGAGACUUGAGAGUCGAUCGUACGUUGAUCGACUCUCAAGUCUGAAUAGUUGGAGACGACGACAUAUGCACGAUUUAUUAGCAACCAUCAUGUUCCAAACCAAAACGAUUUGCCAUCCCGGCUAAGAGUGCACAGGGUUUUUGUUGCGGAGUGGUCGGGCGGGACAGCAGACGGUGGGCGUUGGGACGUUGGUACUUGCAGGCUUGCAGCAAAGUUGACUUGCACCGUUGCACCGGCAGCAUGGUGGCGCGGCGCUCCGCAUCUGACAUCACCAUUCUCAGGUGAGGCGGCCGCGCGAGCGAGUGGGAGGACGCCGCGCGGAGCCAGCGGUCCAUACUGGCCCAUAGGCCAUACCUCGUCAGCAGCGUAAAGCUCGCAGGAAACGGGCUCUCAACUCAUGAUUCUUAGGCCUAUUUC